AUUUGGUCAUAUGACUGACGGAAGUGGAGUUACCACAUGAAGUAUGACUAGGCAUAUUCAAAAAAAUAACAAGUCAGCAUGCAAGUCUAUUUUGAGCCAUACUGUGUCAGUAUGUUUACCUAAUAGGCCCGCUAUGAGGUAAACAUACUUCCUUGUCUGACACAAAAUAUACGUUGCAUCAGUGACUUGUUAUUUUAUUUCAUAUGCCGCAAAAAGCCGACCGUCUGGGCAAAAAAG
rnacentral:ncRNA from 25 species